rnacentral:rRNA from 1 species
GAUGAACGCUGGCGGCGUGCUUAAUACAUGCAAGUCGAGCGAACAGACGAGGAGCUUGCUCCUCGGACGAUAGCGGCGCACGGGUGAGUAACACGUGUAUAACCUACCUGUAAGACGGAUAUAACUACGGGAAAGCGGCGCAAAUACCGUAGAAUAUAUUGAUGCGCAUGGUUCAUUAGUGAAAGACGGCUUUGCUGUCACUUAUAGAUGGAUCUGCGCCGCAUUAGCUAGUUGGUAGGGUAACGGCUUAUCAAGGCUACGAUGCGUAGCCGACCUGAGAGGGUGAUAGGCCGCACUGGAACUGAGCCGCGGUCCAGACUCCUACGGGACGGAGCAGUCUGGAAUGUUCCGCAAUAGGCGAGAGCAUGACGGAGCAGCGCCGAGUGUGUGAUGACGGUCUUCGGAUCGUAAUACUCUGUUAUUAGGGAAGAACCACUUUGUAAGGAAAUAUGCACGUCUUGACGGUACCUGAUAAGAAAGCAACGGCUAACUACGUG